CAGUAGCCGCGGUAAUACGAAGGGGGCUAGCGUUGUUCGGAAUUACUGGGCGUAAAGGGCGCGUAGGCGGCCAUUCAAGUUAGAUGUGAAAGUCCUGGGCUCAACCUAGGAAUUGCAUUUGAUACUGUUUGGCUUGAGUUCGGGAGAGGUGAGUGGAAUUCCCAGUGUAAAGGUGAAAUUCGUAGACAUUGGGAAGAACACCAGUGGCGAAGGCGGCUCACUGGACCGACACUGACGCUGAGGCGCGAAAGCGUGGGGAGCAAACAGGAUUAGAUACCCCAGUAGUCCCUGUCUCUUAUAC
rnacentral:rRNA from 1 species